rnacentral:rRNA from 1 species
AUUGAACGCUGGCGGCAUGCCUUACACAUGCAAGUCGAACGGUAACGGGCCUUCGGGUGCCGACGAGUGGCGAACGGGAGAGUAAUACAUCGGAACGUGCCCGAUCGUGGGGGAUAACGAGGCGAAAGCUUUGCUAAUACCGCAUACGAUCUACGGAUGAAAGCAGGGGACCGCAAGGCCUUGCGCGGACGGAGCGGCCGAUGGCAGAUUAGGUAGUUGGUGGGAUAAAAGCUUACCAAGCCGACGAUCUGUAGCUGGUCUGAGAGGAUGAUCAGCCACACUGGGACUGAGACACGGCCCAGACUCCUACGGGAGGCAGCAGUGGGGAAUUUUGGACAAUGGGCGCAAGCCUGAUCCAGCCAUGCCGCGUGCAGGAUGAAGGCCUUCGGGUUUUAAACUGCUUUUGUACGGAACGAAAAGCCUUCUUUUAAUACAGGAGGGUCAUGACGGUACCGUAAGAAUAAGCACCGGCUAACUACGUG